rnacentral:misc_RNA from 1 species
GCUGGCCUUCCGAGGCAUGUGCACGCCCUGCUCAUUCCACUCUACACCUGUGCACUUACUGUGGGUCUCUUGGGGUUAGCAUUCGUUUGCGAACCUUUCGGGGCCUACGUUUAUUCACAAACACUUAUAAGUAACGGAAUGUGUAUUGCGAUGUAACGCAUCCAUAAU